UCGAACUCCUGACCUCAGGUGAUCGAUCCACCUUGGCCUCCCAAAGUGCUGGGAUUAUAGGCGAGAGCCACCACGUCCCGCCCAGAACUGUUUUCAUCUCCCAAACUGAAAUGUUUACCUGUUAAACAGUAACUCCCCUCACUGCUCCCCCAGCCCCUGCAAAGCACUAUUCUACUUUCUAUUUCUAUGAAUGUAACUACUGAAGGUGCCUCAUUUUAGUGGAACCAUAUAUGAUUUGUCCUUUUGUGACUUAGCAUAAUAUUCUUCUAUUAGUCUACUUGGGCCGCUAUAACAAAAUACCACAGACUGGGUGGCUCACAAACAGCAGAAACUUAUUUGCUGGAGGCUAAGAAGUCCAAGAUCAAAAUGCCAAAAAUUUCUGGUAAGGGCUUUUUUCAUGGCUUGUCAAUGGCUGCUUUCUCACUGUGUCCUCAUGUGGCCUUUCCUUGGUGCGUUGAGAGAAAGAGAGAGAGAGAGAGAGAGAGAGAGAGAGAGAGAGAGAGGCACUUUCUGAUGUCUCUUAUAAGAGUACGAAUCCUACAAAAUCAGAACCCCACCCUUAUGAUUUCAUUUAACCUUAAUUACUUCCUUAGAGGUCCUAUUUCCAAACACAGCCACAUUGGAAGUUAGGGCUUUAACAUGUGAAUUUUGCGGGGACACAACCAUUCAGUCCGUAAUGGUUCUCAAGUUUCCAGUUCUUUACACAGAAUUGGAGUCCUACUCUAUGUUCAAUCUCAGAAUCUGGUUUUUAAAAUGUAUUUUUCACAGUUAUAGGGUGCCAUAACAAUUACAGAAAUCCAGCAGAACCUUCCUUCAUCCUUCCCUUCCCCAGAUUUCUGCUUCCAAAUUAAUUUCAAUUUCUUUUUAAAAUUACUUUUAAUUCCAGAUUACUUACAAUUGUCUUAACUCUUUCUUCUGAUAUUGCCUUUAUAUUUUUAUCAACCAUUUUAUUUCUUGAUUUCUAAAUUUUAUGUAUCAGCUAGGACUUCCUACAGUGGAAGGAUUCAGUUGUCUUAUACCUCCCAUCCUAUACACAACCACACUUCUCCCAUAUUCUCCCAAUAUAUUGUUGUAUCACUAUAUUAUGUUAAAUCAACAUUCAGUGUUUACAUUAUGUCUAUGUAAGGAUUUUUCACAAUUGAGACAUUAGAAGGAGAGGCAGAUAAAUGCAUAGACUCUGCCACUAGACAGCCUGGCUUCAAAUCCUGAAUUUGUCAUUUAAUAGCUACAUGAUCUUGAACAAAUCUCUUUCACUCUGUCUCACUUUCACCAUGUUUAAAAUGGGAAAUGGCAUAUCUCAUACGAUUUCUAUGAGGAUUAAAAGAUUAAGCACUCAGAGUCAUACUUGGUACAUAGUAAUUGGCAUCUAUUAUAUAUUAUUGUUGUUCAUUGUAUACAUUUUUCCCCUAGAGUUCAUGGAUCCUUCGGUAUUCCUGCUCCGUUUUGGAAGAUUACUCUUCAGGCCUAAGGCUAGAAAAGAGUGGAACAUCUUUAAAGCAUUGAAAGAAAAGAAUUGCCAACCCAUAAAUCUACAUCCAGCAAAAAUAUCCUUCAAAAAUGAAGACAACAUGAAAAUAUUCUCAGAUGAAGGAUAGCUAACACAAUUUGUUGCCAGUAGACAUGCUGGACCAGAAAUGUUAAAAGAAUCUCUUCAGACUAAAGGAAAAUGAUACCAGAGGGAAACUUGAACCUCGGGAAUGGAGAAGCAAUAGAAAUUACAAAUAUCUGGAUUUUAGCAUCAACAUUAUGGAGGCUAUGCCUGGACUCAACAAUACGGACUUCUACUCACCAAGGCUGAUCUUGUACUAAUACUAAGUGCUCAACCUGACAACAGAGAAGAUGAUGAGCUUCUAUAAGACACCAUUCCUUAGGGGUCUCAGUCAGUCCCAUGGUCGUAGGAUUAUUACAUGGGACACCUUUCAUCAUGACAAAAACAGAAACUUUUCCUCAUGGAAAUGAACAUGUAUUUCAGACACACAUUUACCUUCUUUGCUGACAAUGAUUCUGUCAUCACCAUCUCCAUGGACUUCCAGAAUGCCUUAAUCAUCAUCAGGGUAUCCUACACAAAGUUGUCUCUGACCAAGGAACUCAUUUAAUGACAAGUGAAGUGCACAUCCAAAGAUUCACUAGUCUUUACUGCUUACUUUACCAUGCAGAAGCAGCUUGCCUUACACAAAAAUAAAUAACUUACUGGAAGCUUAGUUAUGGGAUCAGCUGUUCCUGGGAGUACUGUAUGAGAAGAUUGCAAUAGGUGCUUUAACAGAACCACCCAUAUAUUGUGCUUUUUCCCCCCAUAGUGAGGUUACACAGGACUAGGAAUAAAGCAGUCAUGAAAGGAGUGGCCCUUUUCACUAUUACACCAGUUAACCUACUGAAGAAAUAUGUGAUUCUUGUUUUCUGUCUUCAUAACCUUGGACUCUUAGGUACAGCAGGGAUGAAUGCUUUCACCAGGGAAUAAAGCUAUGAUUCCAUUACAUUAAAAGCUGAGACUACAUUCUGACCAUUUUUGUCCUCUCCUGCCACUGAACUGACAGGCAGGGAAAGGGGCUGCUAUAGUGGCUAGAGGGAUUGAACCCAAUUACUAAGGGGAAAUAAGGUUGCUGCUAUACAAACAGGGAGAGCUAUGCUCAGAGCCCACGGAUACUUACUGGGGCACCUCCUAGUACUGCUUUGCCUAAUAGUCCUGGUAAGUGGAAAAGUGCAGAAAUUCAAUAAACACAGGAUUGAAGAUUAGGGUGACUGCGUCAGGGAAAUAAUUUUGACCAGGUUGCUGUAAGGGGAAUAUGAAAUGGGUGGUAGAAGAAUGAGGUUGAUUAUUAACUUUGGCCUCAUGAUCAGCUUCAGAGAGAAACUGUAACAGCUAUGCACAUCUUUGUUAAUUUAAUUUUUUCUUCCUUUCCUCUGUUUAUAUGAAAAACACUUGAGACAAUUGUUAUAAAUCAGGUUUCAGGUGGGCGAAUAUGGUUGCAUUAGCAUUAUCCUGUAACAGUACAAUGGCUGAUGGGAUUUUUUUUUGUCCCUGCCUCCCUGUUGGGAGAAUAGAAUAGCAAGAAUAGAUGCUGAAUGUGAAAGGAGUAGGCCAUGGUGGUUAGUCUUUAUUUUCCCACACAUCCUUAUUAAUUUCCUGUCCUUCUCAGCCCUGGGAGGCUGAUCCUUAGGGACUACAUCCCCCUGGCUCCAUUUGUAAUUGACUUCUGCUUGGGAUUGGUCAAUGGAAUGCACUGGCACAGCUUUGGCGGGAAGAAGAGAGAAGACAAUGUAUUUCUUCACUGCUCCCACUCUGAUUUGGACUAUUUUUUAUUGGCAGUGACUACAUCCCUUCAAGAUUUUAGCUUCUUCCAGAAGUCCCCUCCUCCAUGACUCUAGCUCUCACUAGGCUCCAGAAAUACUAUUUCUUCCUCUUGCCCUUUUAGGCCUAGGAUAAUAGCUACCUGCUAUUGCUAACCUCUGGGUGCCACAAAAUUGCUUGUUGGGUCUCAUAAUCUUGCAUUUCCCUCUGUAAGUAGUCUCUACAUUAAAGUCCCUUGAACCAUCUGA